rnacentral:rRNA from 1 species
CAACGUGAGCGACCUGCCCAACUGCGGGGGAUAGCCGGCCCAACGGCCGGGUAAUACCGCAUACGACGCUUGGCGCGCAUGAGCCGAGCGUGAAACCGAUUGAGGGCGGUUGGAGGGGCUCGCGGCCUAUCAGCUAGUUGGCGGGGUAAUGGCCCACCAAGGCGACGACGGGUAGCUGGUCUGAGAGGAUGGCCAGCCACAUUGGGACUGAGAGACGGCCCAG